rfam:Schistosoma rodhaini strain Burundi genome assembly, scaffold: SROB_scaffold0002904
AGCUUUCCGAAUCCGUGCUGAGAUUUCGUUAAACACCAAUCCAUUAGGGCUGAUCAAACUUCCAAGAUAAGUGAAGUU